AAUAAAGUAAGCUAAAUUUAAGCUAUUGGGUUCAUACCCCAAAUAUGAUUUUAAAAUCCUUUAUUA
rnacentral:tRNA from 1 species